CAGCGAGCGGAGCGGCGGAACCGGAGCUCCCCGGCUCCCAUCCCUCGGCGUGUGAGCGGCGACACGCGGACACCGCGCCCGGAGCCGGCGGAGCUGUGCCAGGAGCAGCCCUCCUGCGGAGUCAGCGCGGAGCACGCAGAUGGGAUAGUUCUGUUGACUUUUUGCUGUCAUCGGUGAGUCAGCGGCAAGUCCCAGUCUGUAUGUCGGCAGGGAGGGGCCAGCCAGGAAAUCAGUCACAAAAAUGGAAAAAAAAAAAAAAAAAAAAAAAAAAAGAGGAGAAACCCCCGAGAAUUCGAGCCUUACUUGGUUGCUUUUUGAAGUUUACAUUUUGUUUGAGCGGUUGAUAAGAGCGCGUUAGUCAGCGCGGGGCGGGCUGCUCCUCGGCCUGCCCGCCCUCUGCCAGCGCGGCUCCGCACCGCUGCGACCCCCCGAC
ensembl:lncRNA